CAAUUUUCUUGAUAAACUGUUAAAGGUGGAAAAUUUUCAAGUCACAACAGGUUAGAAUUAGAAAUCCGUCUCUCAAUCUCCCAGCUUAGUAGUAGUGGUUUCCUUGAAGCUCUUGGACAACCAAAUCGCUGUUUCUCUGGGUGAAACUUUGCCUGGACCAAAUGGUCUUAAUAAGACAUUGAGCUCAUCGUACCUCUCAUCUUGAAGCAACCUUGCACUGAAUUCAAGCAAUCCCUCCAAUGCCUCGGCUCGUUGCUGAUAAGAGCUAGGAUCAAAUCUUUGUCUCCUUACACCCGACGAAGCCCUGCUUGAUGCUCCAGCUGUCGCAUUUUGAUCAGAUGAUUCACUCCUGUCUUCCAGAUAUGCAUCUUCUUCAUACACCGCCUUCAUAAUCGCUCCUUCUCUGUUUUGGCCUGGUUCAAGAGUAAAUUUGUCUUUUGUGAUUGAGCAGUCUAGUGGUG